rnacentral:rRNA from 1 species
GACGAACGCUGGCGGCGUGCUUAACACAUGCAAGUCGAACGGAAAGGCCCUGCUUUUGUGGGGUGCUCGAGUGACGAACGGGUGAGUAACACGUGAGUAACCCGCCCUUGACUUUGGGAUAACUUCAGGAAACUGGGGCUAAUACCGGAUAGGAGCUCCUGCUGCAUGGUGGGGGUUGGAAAGUUUCGGCGGUUGGGGAUGGACUCGCGGCUUAUCAGCUUGUUGGUGGGGUAGUGGCUUACCAAGGCUUUGACGGGUAGCCGGCCUGAGAGGGUGACCGGCCACAUUGGGACUGAGAUACGGCCCAGACUCCUACGGGAGGCAGCAGUGGGGAAUAUUGCACAAUGGGCGGAAGCCUGAUGCAGCAACGCCGCGUGCGGGAUGACGGCCUUCGGGUUGUAAACCGCUUUCGCCUGUGACGAAGCGUGAGUGACGGUAAUGGGUAAAGAAGCACCGGCUAACUACGUGCCAGCAGCCGCGGUGAUACGUAGGGUGCGAGCGUUGUCCGGAUUUAUUGGGCGUAAAGGGCUCGUAGGUGGUUGAUCGCGUCGGAAGUGUAAUCUUGGGGCUUAACCCUGAGCGUGCUUUCGAUACGGGUUGACUUGAGGAAGGUAGGGGAGAGUGGAAUUCCUGGUGGAGCGGUGGAAUGCGCAGAUAUCAGGAGGAACACCAGUGGCGAAGGCGGUUCUCUGGGCCUUUCCUGACGCUGAGGAGCGAAAGCGUGGGGAGCGAACAGGCUUAGAUACCCUGGUAGUCCACGCUGUAAACGGUGGGUACUAGGUGUGGGGUCCAUUCCACGGGUUCCGUGCCGUAGCUAACGCUUUAAGUACCCCGCCUGGGGAGUACGGCCGCAAGGCUAAAACUCAAAGGAAUUGACGGGGCCCCGCACAAGCGGCGGAGCAUGCGGAUUAAUUCGAUGCAACGCGUAGAACCUUACCUGGGUUUGACAUGGAUCGGGAGCGCUCAGAGAUGGGUGUGCCUCUUUUGGGGUCGGUUCACAGGUGGUGCAUGGCUGUCGUCAGCUCGUGUCGUGAGAUGUUGGGUUAAGUCCCGCAACGAGCGCAACCCUUGUUCACUGUUGCCAGCACGUUAUGGUGGGGACUCAGUGGAGACCGCCGGGGUCAACUCGGAGGAAGGUGGGGAUGACGUCAAGUCAUCAUGCCCCUUAUGUCCAGGGCUUCACGCAUGCUACAAUGGCUGGUACAGAGAGUGGCGAGCCUGUGAGGGUGAGCGAAUCUCGGAAAGCCGGUCUCAGUUCGGAUUGGGGUCUGCAACUCGACCUCAUGAAGUCGGAGUCGCUAGUAAUCGCAGAUCAGCAACGCUGCGGUGAAUACGUUCCCGGGGCU